GAUGAACGCUGGCGGCGUGCCUAAUACAUGCAAGUAGAACGCUGAAGGAAGGAGCUUGCUCUUUCCGGAUGAGUUGCGAAAGGGUGAGUAACGCGUAGGUAACCUGCCUGGUAGUGGGGGAUAACUAUUGGAAACGAUAGCUAAUACCGCAUAACAGUAGAUGUUGCAUGAUAUCUACUUAAAAGGUGCAAUUGCACCAAUACCAGAUGGAUAUGCGUUGUAUUAGCUAGUUGGUGAGGUAACGGCUCACCAAGGCGACAAUACAUAGACGACCUGAGAGGGUGAUCGGCGACACUGGGACUAAGACACGACCCAGACUCCUACGGGGACCCGCAAGAGUUACUCUUCGACAAUGGACGAAAGUCUGACCGAGCAACACCGCGUGAGUGAAGAAGGUUUUCAUAUCGUAAAGCUCUGUUGUAAGAGAAGAACACGUCUUAGAGUGGAAAGUUCACACUGUAACGGUAUCUUACCAGAAAGGGACGGCUAACUACGUG
rnacentral:rRNA from 1 species